rnacentral:rRNA from 1 species
GACGAACGCUGGCGGCGUGCUUAACACAUGCAAGUCGAACGGAAAGGCCCUGCUUGCCGGGUACUCGAGUGGCGAACGGGUGAGUAACACGUGGGUGAUCUGCCCUUCACUUCGGGAUAAGCCUGGGAAACUGGGUCUAAUACCGGAUAGGAGCCAUUUUUAGUGUGAUGGUUGGAAAGUUUUUUCGGUGUAGGAUGAGCUCGCGGCCUAUCAGCUUGUUGGUGGGGUAAUGGCCUACCAAGGCGGCGACGGGUAGCCGGCCUGAGAGGGUGGACGGCCACAUUGGGACUAAGAUACGGCCCAGACUCCAACGGGAGGCAGCAGUGGGGAAUAUUGCACAAUGGCCCCAAGCCUGAUCCAACGACCCCGCGUGGGGAAUAACGGCCUUCGGUUUGAAAACCACUUUCCCUAGGAACAAACCUUUUUUGAAGGUAACCAAAAAAAAAACCACCGCUAAAUUCAUG